GCCAGCAGCAGCGGUAAUACGUAGGCGCCAAGCGUUAUCCGGAAUUACUGGGCGUAAAGAGUCUGUAGGCGGCGGAUAAAGUCGAGUGUUAAAUUUUCAUGCUCAACGUGAAAAAUGUACUCGAAACUUAUUUGCUUAGAGUCUGAGAGAGGCUACUGGAAUUCCCAUUGAAGGAGUAAAAUCCGUAGAUAAUGGGAGGAACACCAAAAGCGAAGGCAGGUAGCUGGAUCAGGACUGACGCUGAGAGACGAAAGCGUGGGUAGCGAACAGGAUUAGAUACCCUGGUAGUCCACGCCGUAAACGAUGAGUGCUAGGCGUUGGAGAGUCAUUUCGACCCUUUCCAGUGUCUAAAGUUAACACGUUAAGCACUCCGCCUGGGGAGUACGAGCGCAAGCUUAAAACUCAAAGGAAUAGACGGGGGCCCGCACAAGCGGUGGAGCAUGUGGUUUAAUUCGACAAUAAGCGAGGAACCUCACCUGGGCUUGACAUCUCGAGAAUCCUCUGGAAACAGAGGAGUGCCCGCAAGGGAAUUUGAUGACAGGCGCUGCAUGGUUGUCGUCAGCUCGUGCCCUGAGGUGUUCGGUUAAGUCCGUAAACGAGCGCAACCCUUAUCGUAUGUUGUAUUUUUCAUACGAGACUGCCGGUUUUACACCGGAGGAAGGUGGGGAUGACGUCAAAUCAGCAUGGCCCUUAUGUCCAGGGCGACACACGUGCUACAAUGGGGAGUACAAUGGGUAGCCAAGGCGCAAGCCGGAGCUAAUCCUCAAAACUCCUCUCAGUUCAGAUGGAGGGCUGCAAUUCGCCCUCAUGAAGUGGAAUCGCUAG
rnacentral:rRNA from 1 species